rnacentral:rRNA from 1 species
AGCAAUAUGUCAGCGGCAGACGGGUGAGUAACGCGUGGGAAUCUACCCAACCCUACGGAAUAACGCAUGGAAACGUGUGCUAAUACCGUAUACGCCCCCCUUUAAAAUUCCAGGAAGAAUAAAAUGCCCUUGGCAUUUUAUGGGGGGGAAAGAUUUAUCGGGGAUGGAUGAGCCCGCGUUGGAUUAGCUAGUUGGUGGGGUAAAGGCCUACCAAGGCGACGAUCCAUAGCUGGUCUGGGAGGAUGAUCAGCCACAUUGGGACUGAGACACGGCCCAAACUCCUACGGGAGGCAGCAGUGGGGAAUAUUGGACAAUGGGCGCAAGCCUGAUCCAGCCAUGCCGCGUGAGUGAUGAAGGCCCUAGGGUUGUAAAGCUCUUUCACCGGAGAAGAUAAUGACGGUAUCCGGAGAAGAAGCCCCGGCUAACUUCGUGCCAGCCGCCGCCGUAACAC